rnacentral:rRNA from 1 species
UGGGGAAUAUUGCACAAUGGGCGCAAGCCUGAUGCAGCCAUGCCGCGUGUAUGAAGAAGGCCUUCGGGUUGUAAAGUACUUUCAGCGGGGAGGAAGGUGUUGAGGUUAAUAACCUCAGCAAUUGACGUUACCCGCAGAAGAAGCACCGGCUAAAUCCGUGCCAGCAGCCGCGGUAAUACGGAGGGUGCAAGCGUUAAUCGGAAUUACUGGGCGUAAAGCGCACGCAGGCGGUCUGUCAAGUCGGAUGUGAAAUCCCCGGGCUCAACCUGGGAACUGCAUUCGAAACUGGCAGGCUAGAGUCUUGUAGAGGGGGGUAGAAUUCCAGGUGUAGCGGUGAAAUGCGUAGAGAUCUGGAGGAAUACCGGUGGCGAAGGCGGCCCCCUGGACAAAGACUGACGCUCAGGUGCGAAAGCGUGGGGAGCAAACA